rnacentral:lncRNA from 1 species
AUCAGGAAGCGGUCCUUUGUGACCAUGGGCACCGAAUACCCCAAUCGACCAACCUUUCCCUCAAGGCCUGCUACUACACCUUUUGGUGUUCCGCAGAGUGCAAGUCCUUUUCAAUCAUCUGUUCCAGUAGUUGGAUCUGAUGCUUCUGCUUUUCGGCCUGCUCCUCCUACUUCUUCUCCAGCUAUGUCAUCUCCGUCUUCAUCUGGCCCCAUGGUUGGACCAGGGACCUCUACUUUUAGACCGAUGCCGCCCGGUAUGCCACCUCCAACAUCGGCACCUCCAUAUGGGCUGACAGGCACUGGCCCUUUCCAGCGUUUCCCAGCACCGCAGUUUCCUUCUACAGCUCAGGUACCACCUCCACGCACUUCAGUGCCGGGACAGCCUGUUUUAGCACCCCCAGUUAGACCUGUUUCAGGUCCUUUCUCACCACCUCCUGUUGCCCAUCAUCCACAAAUCCAACCUCCUCCAGUUCCGAUGGGAUCUCCCCCUCAAGGUGCAAGUACACUGCAGCCUAGACCAAAUGUUCAUCAGGCAUCCAUACCAUCCCAGUUUUCUGCUGCCAGAGCAACCAUGCAGCCGUCUUCUCCUCCAGCUAGUUUAGUUUAUCCUGCUGCUAGACCUGGCUUUCAAUCUUCUUUUCCUGGGUAUAUAAGUCAGCAGCCUUCAGGGUUUACACAGGCUCCACCUAGACAAUCAGUAUCAUAUCCUUCUCAGCCAGGCAGCUAUGUCCCACCAGUGCCAGCAGCUUCUACCCCAUAUCUUGCUCAACAAGGAGGCUAUGCAGCACCACCACCUCUAACAUCUCAACAUCCAGGAUCGACGCCUCCUAUGUCAGCUAUUCAGGGUUUGGUGGAAGACUUCAGUUCCUUUUCUAUUGGGUCUGUUCCAGGAUCAUUUGAUUCCGGCCUUGAUUCUAAAGUCUUACCGAGACCAAUUGAAGAUGACCCUGAGCAGAACGUUUUGUCUGAUAUGUAUCCCAUGAACUGUAGUUCUAGAUUUUUGAGGCUAACAACUAGUGGCAUUCCGAAUUC